UACACUACAGCACCUUCACAUGAAAAACAAAGAGAGAGCAGAAGAGAGAAAAGAGAGAACGUGUGAGAGAAGAGAAGGGAGCCGCCGCCCAAGCCACCACCAUUGUCGCAGGUCGCGCGUGGGAGAAGAGGAGAGAAACCAGAACCUUGCUCUUCACUUUCAUCUUUUCUUCAAGCCUAAGGACAAAGAUGGUCGUGAAGAUAAUGGCGAUGACUCAUUCUUGGGAGUUGAUGCUACGUGACGUGCCAAUACCGGAGGACGACUACACUUCAGAGGAAGAGGAAGAGGCUAAGGAAUAGGGUUUGGGUUGAGAGUCUUUUGUUUUCUGUUGGGGUUGAGAGUUUCCGAAGUGUUGGUAUCGCACAAUUUUAUUGCUUAAAUUCGAAUGAACAAGUUUUGAUGUAAUCUUUAUUUUCAUUCAGGCCUUUGAUUCGUACUCUUUACAGUUGGUUAUUUAAAAAGUUUUACGAUGUUGGUUA